GACGAACGCUGGCGGCGUGCUUAACACAUGCAAGUCGAACGGAAAGGCCCUGCUUUUGUGGGGUGCUCGAGUGGCGAACGGGUGAGUAACACGUGAGUAACCUGCCCUUGACUUUGGGAUAACUUCAGGAAACUGGGGCUAAUACCGGAUAGGAGCUCCUGCUGCAUGGUGGGGGUUGGAAAGUUUCGGCGGUUGGGGAUGGACUCGCGGCUUAUCAGCUUGUUGGUGGGGUAGUGGCUUACCAAGGCUUUGACGGGUCGCCGGCCUGAGGGGGUGACCGGCCACAUUGGGACUGGGAUACGGCCCAGACUCCUACGGGAGGCAGCAGUGGGGAAUAUGGCACAAGGGGCGGAAGCCUGAUGCAGCAACGCCGCGUGCGGGAGGACGGCCUUCGGGUGGUAAACCGCUUUCGCAUGUGACGAAGCGUGAGUGACGGUAAUGGGUAAAGAAGCACCGGCUAACUACGU
rnacentral:rRNA from 1 species